ACGGGAGGCAGCAGUGAGGAAUAUUGGUCAAUGGAGGCAACUCUGAACCAGCCAUCUCGCGUGAAGGAAUACGGCCCUACGGGUCUUAAACUUCUUUUAUAGGGGGAUAAAGUGAGGCAUGCAUGCCUUUUUGUAGGUACCCUAUGAAUAAGCAUCGGCUAACUCCGUGCCAGCAGCCGCGGUAAUACGGAGGAUGCGAGCGUUAUCCGGAUUUAUUGGGUUUAAAGGGAGCGUAGGCGGUCCUUUAAGUCAGCGGUCAAAUGUCGGGGCCCAACCCCGGCCUGCCGUUGAUACUGGAGGACUUGAAUACACACAAGGAAGGUGGAAUUCGUCGUGUAGCGGUGAAAUGCUUAGAUAUGACGAAGAACUCCGAUUGCGAAGGCAGCCUUCUGGAGUGCGAUUGACGCUGAGGCUCGAAAGCGCGGGUAUCAAACAGGAUUAGAUACCCUGGUA
rnacentral:rRNA from 1 species